GAUGAACGCUGGCGGCGUGCCUAAUACAUGCAAGUCGAGCGAACAGAUAAGGAGCUUGCUCCUUUGACGUUAGCGGCGGACGGGUGAGUAACACGUGGGUAACCUACCUAUAAGACUGGAAUAACUCCGGGAAACCGGGGCUAAUGCCGGAUAACAUUUAGAACCGCAUGGUUCUAAAGUGAAAGAUGGUUUUGCUAUCACUUAUAGAUGGACCCGCGCCGUAUUAGCUAGUUGGUAAGGUAACGGCUUACCAAGGCAACGAUACGUAGCCGACCUGAGAGGGUGAUAGGCCACACUGGAACUGAGACACGGUCCAGACUCCUACGGGAGGCAGCAGUAGGGAAUCUUCCGCAAUGGGCGAAAGCCUGACGGAGCAACGCCGCGUGAGUGAUGAAGGUCUUCGGAUCGUAAAACUCUGUUAUUAGGGAAGAACAAAUGUGUAAGUAACUGUGCACGUCUUGACGGUACCUAAUCAGAAAGCCACGGCUAACUACGUG
rnacentral:rRNA from 1 species